CCACAACUACAACCGCGCGGGAAUGAGUUUAGAAGUCCAGUAAUGGCACUCACGACGGCGAGUCUAAGUCUAAUA
rfam:Carnobacterium iners strain LMG26642 genome assembly, contig: Ga0073236_12